rnacentral:rRNA from 1 species
GUGGGGAAUAUUGGACAAUGGGCGCAAGCCUGAUCCAGCCAUGCCGCGUGAGUGAUGAAGGCCCUAGGGUUGUAAAGCUCUUUCACCGGAGAAGAUAAUGACGGUAUCCGGAGAAGAAGCCCCGGCUAACUUCGUGCCAGCAGCCGCGGUAAUACGAAGGGGGCUAGCGUUGUUCGGAAUUACUGGGCGUAAAGCGCACGUAGGCGGACAUUUAAGUCAGGGGUGAAAUCCCGGGGCUCAACCCCGGAACUGCAUUUGAAACUCCUGGUCUUGAGGUCGAGAGAGGUGAGUGGAAUUCCGAGUGUAGAGGUGAAAUUCGUAGAUAUUCGGAGGAACACCAGUGGCGAAGGCGGCUCACUGGCUCGAUACUGACGCUGAGGUGCGAAAGCGUGGGGAGCAAACAGGAUUAGAAACCCGUGUAGUCC